AACGAACGCUGGCGGCAGGCUUAACACAUGCAAGUCGAGCGCCUCGCAAGAGGAGCGGCAGACGGGUGAGUAACGCGUGGGAAUCUACCCAUCCUUACGGAACAACUCCGGGAAACUGGAGCUAAUACCGUAUACGCCCUUUGGGGGAAAGAUUUAUCGAGGAUGGAUGAGCCCGCGUUGGAUUAGCUAGUUGGUGGGGUAAAGGCCUACCAA
rnacentral:rRNA from 1 species